UCGGGCGAUGUAGGGGCUCAUCGGUGCAAGGCUUCUGGCUGGGGCUCGACGUCGACAGCGACUGGUGGUUCUCGGCGCCUCCGUCCACCACGGUUUUUAAAAUUUGGGGAUGUCCGAUUUGCAGUUGAUAUGCUGCCGGUUUUUCUAAGAAAAUUUAUGGACUCAUGUAGAUUUAAUUAUAUAAAAUUGUUGUUUAUCUUUAUAAUUAAUUAGAAUGGCUGUUAAUUGUUGUGUCUCAUUGAAAAUAAUGUACAAAUUUUGUUAUUUUAA